UAUGAGUUAACAGCACUACUAAACCUUCAUCACGGGGUACAGGGGAGAGUUGGAGGUGAGCGCCAUCUAUGAGUUAACAGCACUACUAAACCUUCAUCACGGGGUACAGGGGAGAGUUUCUCGUCUGGUGGUUCUUGGAUCCAUCACCAGCUGGAGCCACAAGACAGAGGAAGAAGGUGGAGGACGGACCAAGUGUACCACGAUCUGACAGCCCCGAAAAUAUCGGCCUGAGGCAUCGGCACUUUCUCCAUCACUGCCUAAAGUGGACCUGAACCUUUGGACCUGAUGUGAACUAGAAUGAAGUUGGCUGGACCUCAAGUACUCUGUGGAAGCUUCAAGGACCAACAACACAUCUCGGUAUGACAAGUCGAGACUCGACCGUACAGACCCGUCCGGUCUCGCACACGACGCCGUUAACGGCAAACGGAGAAACGCCGCCGGGAGGCACUUUCUCCAUCACUGCCUACAGUGGACCUGAUGUGAACUAGAAUGAAGUUGGCUGGACAUAAAGAUUACUGGACCUCAAGUACUCUGUGGUAUUGUAUUUAAUAUUGUUGUGGUACUUUGAAUGUUAGGAAAGUUCUACAGGCAUUCCCCAGUUUAUAAGAGUACUGUGUCUUACAAAAGCCUAUAGUAAAUCGAAUCAAUAUUCCUAUAGACUCGCAUUAUAAAAGCCAAGAUACUUUUCUACAUUGAAAACAGUUCCCCCCCAAAUGAUGUACGGUCCCCCAAAAAGUAUCGAUUGAAUUUUCUAGAUGUAAAAUUUGAAACUCUAGAUGAAAUUCUUUGCUGUUAUCCCCAGUGCAUCGGCAUAAGUUGGUACAGGUACAGCCGUUCACUAUAUGAGCAAUAGCCAU